GGGGAGAGCCCUCGCCCUGCAGGCAAGGCCCUGCCCUGGGCCGAGCUGCCUCUCCCGGCGGGGGCCCGGCGCCUUUUGGGGGGAGGCAGAGGAGAGACUGCCGAGACUCUGUGUCCAUCACAGGCCACAGCCCCUGCCUGGUAACCCAGCGAAACCCAGCUCACAUGGCGCUUUUGUCUGGCCCUUGGAAACGUUCAGAAAAAGGGGCGACUCCAAAUUAUUCAGGAGCGAUUUAGGCCACAAAAGAAAAAGACACCUGAAUUGGCUCGGUGUGAGACAGCUGGGGGGGUCCAGUGAGGCUUAGAAGCAGAGAUAGACCCCGCGUGAACAGAAUUACUCCGAUUACAGGGACAGGUCUGAGCGUGGCGGGAGGCACUGCCCGAUCCUAUUUGGGUCCCACAACGAGCACCAUUACAUCGAAUCGACCAAACCUUGAUGGACUCGAGCUUCAUUCCAUGAAUUCACAUCUAUCAACGCAGCACUGCCCAUCCUGUCACAUCAGAUAUUACCAGAUAUUUUCUGCUAUUAGGCACGGUGACUCCCCUGCUCUUUUGGGAGCUAGAUAGUGGAUUGCAUAGUCACCUUGUUACCCAGGAGUACACAGAAGCCAUCAAGCCUUGAUUCAGAAUAGGAUGUUGAAUGAAGUAUGCGUUCCUGGUACUGGAAAGCACUGUUCACUCUGACAUACAUUUCAAGCACACUGCCACGAUUUAUUGUUUCCAUUAGAAAAGUAUCUAGUAAUCUGAAAAUGGAUCUAGAAACCAUUGUUCUAGAUACCACGCUUGACACAUAACAAAAAGAAAGCUCAUGCCCUGCAGAGGUUACAUCGAGAGUAGAUUAAGUGAGUUCUAAAGAUACCCGUUGAAAGAGUUGUGCAGGUUUUUUCAGGUCUCCUAGACAUGUUGCACCAGCACAAACCAACUUGCCAGAGCGCUUUCUAAAAGCCAGCACUCAAACAGACAGGUCCAGACAAAAAGGCUGAAGCCUAAACCUACCUUGAAACCCUUUGCUUGCUUCUAACAAGCCCUCCUGAUUGUGAACGACCUCGGAGUUCUCCACAGAAGCAAGGACCACACCUCGCAGAAACACAGCAUCUCUCCUGAGCGAGCCCACAGCAGGAACAGCAGCACACACAAAGGUGAUGGGUUUCUCCACAGGCAGACACACGUACCCGCGGCACGCCGCCUCUCCACGCUACCUGUCUCGUCUUGUUUUAGCCGUUUCUGGCGAGCAGGCAGGGUACUGGAGCAUGCAGAAAUCUGGCUUUUCAAAGCACCCUGAAAGCAGGCUCAUAUUUUUCAGUACCUAAGCGGCCCAGAAGAACUUACCAGGGAGCAAGAAGCAGAUAGGUAGUGCAAUAGACACAGCUAUGGGUGAACCUCAGUUUCAUGCUUCUUGGGCUUCUCAGUGACUUACAAGAACCAAGAAACACCAGAAGAUGGGACUGAAACUGCCUCCUGCUCAUUCUUCAGUGCCAGAUCACAUCAGGAUAUAAGAUACCUGACGACUACUUGUUGUUUGCAGACCGCUGGAAGACAGAGGCGUAAUCACCUAUUGUUGGAGCCAGACAAGGGGGAAGAGGAGAGCAGUGCUGUUGAAAUCUGAUUUGCAGAAAAGGCAAGCGAUAGAGCUUUGUCAUUAGAUGUAGUCCCUGGCUAUCCUGAUCAGCUAUCCAAGCCCCCAAGCACCCUGGUUCUGCCCAUUACAUCGAUGGUGAACAUGUCUCCAGAACAAGCAGCCCUGGCUCCCAUGUUGCUGGGGCUUGGCCAUGCACCAUGGCACACAGCAGGAAGCCUUCCAGACUUAUCAGCAAAGUGCAGUGACAGCAAAAUAAACUCAAUUCACAGACUUCUGUCAUCCUCCGGAUCUUAGGAUCAGUUCUGACUCCCUCCCAGCCUCAUUCAUCACUUCUGAGGAUGAAGUCCUAAACACCUGCCGUGGCUGAAACUGUUCUUACAUCAUCUUCUGAACACAGUGACUUCAAGCACAUGAAGUCAUGAGGUUAAUACCAUAGUCAAGACUUCAAGCAAAGCUCUUUCUGCAGACGUGAGCUGAUUUUUUUUUUUUUAAAUGCCAUGGUAGUUACUAGUUCUUAACCAAUAGAAAAACUACCAAAGGUAAUCAGGGUUCUGCUUAUCAUGCAAUACAAGAAGAUGGAAGAGUUUUCCAGCAGAGCAGCAGUCUGGAUGGGGGUGGCAGUACCGUAGUAUGAAUUCCUCAAUCUCAGAUUAGUUUUUAUUUUCAUCUUGUUGUAUAUAAUGGGGAUGAAUAUCAUUGCUCUGUAUUAUCUACUUGGAAUAAUAAGCUUCUAGAGACAUGUCUUUUACCAUGCAUGGCAUUCAUCUGGUAGUGUUAGCUGUAUUGACACCUUUUUAUGUAAAGAUUAAGAAUAGUUGAAAAUCAAACCUAAAUAGGGCAAGCCUGAAGAUCAUCUAGGUGUGGAUUUACAGCUAAAAUAAUUCCUGUUCCUCUGCUUUCACUAGAGAUGCAUAACACUGUGGUGGUGGUAGGAUGGCUAAUGAAAACUACACAGAAAUGGAAGUUCUUCAGGGAAAGCAAAGUUUCAGGAGUUUGAUACACUUUACUUUUGGACUGAGUAAUUUCUGCCUUGCUGUACUGAAAGAACAUCUUAAACAAAAUUGUCACAUUUGGGAUGAUGAGACAGAAAUAGAGGACUGCAAAUGCAUGCCAGUUCUGAAGAAGCUGAGAGGCAAGAGAGAGGAGAUGUAGGUUAACACACACCCAUCAGUCUGACCCCUAACAGUAUGUAACGUUUUAGAACAGAUUUUGACUGCAAGCAUAAUUAAAAACAUGGGAAAAUAUGGCAAGGGUUUACCAAAAGUGGAUUAUACCUACCUCUGGUAAGAGGAUGAAUCUUCUAGAUGAAAAAAAUACUACUAUUUGGGGACUUUAGGACAGCCUUCAGUACUGCAUCCUGAAAGAAAUUGGUAGUUCCUCUGGAAAAGGGAUUCUCACAAGACAAAAAGGUGAUUACAUGGCUAGCUAAUGGGGAGAAGCGGUCAUGCUGCAAGGGGGACUAUCAGGCCAAGAGAUAGUUUGUAGUGGAGGUUCUUAGAGACAAUACUCAAUUUCUCUUAGUGCCAUUUGGGAAAAAACGAAGCAUGCUAAUGACAUUUGCUAGUGAUUAAGCGGUGUCAUCAGAGGAAGACCGUUAGAAUGGGAUGGGGUAACAAGAACAGAAUAAAGUGUAGCAGUACAUAGGGUAGGGUCUCAUACUUAAAAAACCUUUUACUACAGUGGAGACUUCCACUCUAGAUGCCUUUGUGACUGGAGAGGACAAAGAGAGGAACCCCAUCUUAACAGUCAAUGUUUAUGAGCAACCAAUUUGAUAUGACCAUGAUAUCAUGACCCCAGGAUAUACCAGCUAUUUACAGUACAGAAAGGAGAGUAUUUACUCCACUGCACAAGACGUCCAGAGUAAAUUAUACUGUUCUGGUCACCAUCUUCAAGAAUGGACAGCUGGAAAAGAAAAACCAGGAUGAUAAAAGAAUUGUGAGCCUGUCUUUAAUGACAGGAGAUUUUGAGCUUGGCAUGUAUGACUUAGCAAAAUAAAUGUCAAGAGGAGAUGACAGUGGGCCCUGUAAAUACACCAGGAAUGCAAACAUCAGAGAGUAACAGUUAUCUUAAGAUGAAAAAUAAUUUGGCAAAAGAACAAGUAGGUAUAACUUGGCAAUAAAUAGCUUUACCCUAUAAAUUAGGAGGUCAGUAAUCCUCAGAGAGAGUCUAUGGACAAACCUUUCAGAAGGAGGAAGAGACUGACAGGUACCUAAAUGACUCCGAUGUGGUUACCUGCAAUAGCAGAAAACUGGUUCCUCUGACCAGAAAGUCCCUUUUGGUCCUGUGUUUCUAGGUUGUAGUACAAUGGAAUUCCUAAAUGUUAAUAAUGCAAGUGGCAACAGCAAUUAGCUAUUAAUCAAUAAUAUUAAUUAGUGACUGGGAUGACUGGAUGUUACUUGUGACUGGAUUAAACCAGGAGGACAGAUGAAUCUCUUCUUUAGAAGAUAAGACCCCAAAGGAAAAGCAUGUCCUCUAGGCUUGGUUUUCAGAGAAAGUUUUACCUGAUUCCUGUUUGCAUAGCACCAAUGUAAUUAAUCCAGACUAACCCAUUUUGUGGAGUUCCUGUGAUGGUGAGACCAAAAUCAGGUCCAACAUCUCCAAAUAGGUCCAGGGUAUGCUGAUUGUUAAUACUAAGAUUUAAAAAUUUUAAACAUUUCUUGGCAAAAAUGAAACAUAACUUUUCUCUUCUAUAAAACUUCACAAAUGUACAAUGUGAUUCCUGGAUAGAGAUCACAUCAGCUCCACAGUUAUUAAUUUACAGGUUUCUCACUGACCUUAGCUCAGCUCUGGGAAUGAUGCCAGCACAAUUACAGUAAGUCUGAACAGGACAGACAUAAAGCUCUUGUAUCCACCCUGAAAUUAUGCCAGAUUUUUCUUUUGCUCAGUGAUGGAAAGAUGCAUUUCUUCUCUGAUUAGUUUCAAAUAGUUCAGGCUGGGUUGGCAGAAACAAGAUUAUUUCCAGCAAAAGAAUGAAAAGAAGUAACCUACCAUGCAGAUAUGUGCAUACAUGACACACUUACUUCAUAGAUAACCUUCAGGAAGUGUGUCCCAAGAAUGGGUGUGGGGAGAACUGAGUCAAGGUGCCUUGAGCUAGUUACCUGGAAGAUAAAUGGCAGAGUUGGGAAUAAAAUUCAAGGGGUAGAUGCUUGAUUUAGUGUUGUUUUCACUGAAUCAUGCUACCUUCCUGGAACACACGGAGGCCCAUUGCCUUCCUUCCUGUGAAGAUGGGCAGCUGGACUGCAACGGCACCAGGUGGAGCUGAGUGUGCUCAUCCCCUUGGAAAAUCAGACCCCUGGUGAUGUUCUCUGACGUGAAUUGGCCAUCAGACUUUCAAGAGAGAAGUCAACACAUUUCCUGACCUAUGGUCUAAGAUAGUAUUUUCCAAAUCCUAGAGUAAAUUUAAUGUUGCUGCAGAGGAAACGCUGAUGCAAUCCACCAGCAGCGGCUGCUCUCCAACAUCCUUGCAAAGGUACAGCACAUACUGGAGGUGUGAGGGGGUGAGCAGAUGCAAGCAGGGUGUUCAAAACCCCAGCCUCGUCUGAAUGGCAGGCAGGGCUCUGUGUCUUCCCCCCAGACCUCCCACCUUCCUCCCCCAAGAGAAACGCUGUUAAGGGCUGCUCCCCAGAUAACACGGGGUACCAUCCUGAAAGUAAACCCCUGAAAAAGCAGUGGGACCACUGAGGGUGUGGUCACAUGUUCCUAGGUGCCUGAUCUACGAAUCCUCUAUCUCAAGCGUGGAAAUGUGGAUUCCUCCCAAGUGUGAGUGAGAAUGGUAAGAGCAAUGUUCUGAAUAAAUAUGUUGUGAUGAGUCUAAAAGAUCAGGUAAUGUGUGUGUUCCAACAGGCAAAUUUAAUUUAUGGACAGAUAAGUCUGGCUGAUUGAAUUAACCUGGUUUAAUGAAUUACUGCCUCUCAAUGGAGCUGUGAAGACUGACUGCACUGUGCUUUAGUCCCUUGCUUUUUUAAAUAAAUCAUAUUAAGGGAAAGCAAACACGCUUGGUUUAGAGUGGAAGGGCUAUUAACAUGGCCAGUUAGGAUGGCUCUGCAGAGGCACAGUAACCUGUUACACCACAGGAGGUUAAUCUGUACGCUAGGCUGCCCGUGCCCUGGCUGUGCACUUGGCAUGGAUCACACUGUGAUUUUCGUAUGUCCUAGAAAAUCCCCCCUUCCUGAAAUUAGCAAGUAUUCAUUACUCGUGUUGGGGUUGAAUAGUGAAAAAGGAAUAUGAUGAUACUGUGGCAGUCUCCAACCAGGAGAUGGUGAAUGGUGAAAGAACAGAACAUUGCACCAGCAUUACACUCUAGCAAGCAACAGAGAUGUUUAACUAUGUCACCAACGCAAGUUGAACCACAUCCAUUGCAUCCAGAUUAUGACAAACCUCAUUCUGCCAUGUCUAGUCUUCUGACCACUCUGGACUGGGAAUUUAGGUUUUUAAUCUGUUUGUUUCUUGUUUGGG